rnacentral:rRNA from 1 species
AUGUCCGCCUCCUCGUCGGCGCGCACGCACUACAGGUCUCGAUUCAGCCUAGGAGGUAGACCAUCAAUUCGACGGCGCGCGCACGCACUGCUGCUGCUUCAGUGGACGGUGGAGGAGGACGCGCGCCUGGAGCGACUCGCGAGGGAGAACAGAUUCCGCCACUGGCGCCGGGUGGCGCGCCGGAUGCCGGGCCGCUCCCGCAGCCUCUGCCGCGCCCGGUGGCGUCACCUAUUGGCGAAGCGCGAGGUGUGCUACCUCCACACUGCCCUCGCCGCACUCUCCCACCGCGACGAGGACGAGCUCCUCAGCCGCGACUGGAUGCGCCGCUGGACGGCCUACAGAAAGAAGGCCGCCAAGAGCAGCCCGGAGAAGGCCCAAGAAUACUGGAGGGAGUUCAUGAAAAACGCCGCUACGGGUUUCGCGGAGGAGAAGGUACAGUCGGAGCCGGAGCCGGCUUCCCCGGCGCCGAUGCAGCGGCAGCACCCUCUCGCCGACGUCCUUGCCUCGGGCUUGAGCUCUUGCAGCCUUGCACCAGUAGAUCCCAGGGCUGGCAGCCUCGCGUUAGGGCUCGCGCGCAUGACCAUCUGA